CAACCCUCAGGGCCCCCCUUCCGGGGGAGGGACCUGGCGUUGGGGAUCGGCCCCGCCACCACGCGCGGCGCCGUCCCCCAAAUACAGUGGCGGUCCCGCCGCAGCCUCCCCUGCGUAGUAGCAAACACCUCGCACCGGAGCGCGGCGCGGCCUCGCCGUGAAACCCCCAACUUCUGAA
rnacentral:misc_RNA from 1 species